CCCUUAGAUGUUCUGGGCCGCACGCGCGCUACACUGAUGCAUUCAACGAGUUUCUUCCUGGUCCGAGAGGAAUGGGUAACCUUUUGAAAGUGCAUCGUGAUAGGGAUAGACUAUUGCAAUUAUUGGUCUUCAACGAGGAAUUCCUAGUAGACGUAGUUCAUCAGACUGCAUCGAUUACGUCCCUGCCCUUUGUACACACCGCCCGUCGCUCCUACCGAUUGAAUGCUCAGGUGAGCCAUUCGGACUUUCAUCAUGCUGGUUUCCAGUUUUGAUGAAGGAAAGUCUUGCGAACCUUAUCAUUUAGAGGAAGGAGAAAUCGUAACA
rnacentral:rRNA from 1 species